rnacentral:misc_RNA from 1 species
AUUAAACGAAGAAUCUAAUUACCUCGAAGUGUUCAAACUUACCCAACAAUGUUAACAAAAACUCAUUAGAGGAUGACACGUAAAACGCUUCCAUAAAGAGACCAGACAACGACGACGAUUUAAUCAACUGGUCACGUCUUGGUAACUUUGUUGCAAGCAGCCGGAAGUCGAGAAGAAAUUCCACUAGUGGCGGGUUUGGACAGACCAACGGAAUUCCA